rnacentral:rRNA from 1 species
AUACGUAGGGGGCGAGCGUUAUCCGGAUUUAUUGGGCGUAAAGCGUGUGUAGGCGGUUUGUUAAGUUUAAGAUUAAAGCCCGAGGCUUAACCUCGGUUCGUCUUAAAAACUGGCAGACUUGAGUGCAGUAGAGGCAAGUGGAAUUUCUAGUGUAGCGGUUAAAUGCGUAGAUAUUAGAAGGAACACCAGUGGCGAAGGCGGCUUGCUGGGCUGUUACUGACGCUGAGACACGAAAGCGUGGGGAGCAAAUAGGAUUAGAUACCCUAGUAGUCCACGCCGUAAACGAUGAGUACUAAGUGUCGGGUAACCGGUGCUGAAGUUAACACAUUAAGUACUCCGCCUGAGUAGUACGGUCGCAAGGCUGAAACUCAAAUGAAUUGGCGGGG